UACGUAGGUGGCAAGCGUUGUCCGGAUUUACUGGGCGUAAAGCGCGCGCAGGCGGCUGAUUAAGUCCGAUGUGAAAUCUCCCGGCUCAACCGGGAGCGGUCAUUGGAUACUGGUCGGCUUGAGGGAGGCAGAGGAGAGUGGAAUUCCCGGUGUAGUGGUGGAAUGCGUAGAUAUCGGGAGGAACACCAGAGGCGAAGGCGGGCUACUGGGCUGAUACUGACGCUGAUGCGCGAAAGCUAGGGGAGCAAACGGG
rnacentral:rRNA from 1 species